rnacentral:rRNA from 1 species
AGCGAACGCUGGCGGCAGGCCUAACACAUGCAAGUCGAACGAACCUUUCGGGGCUAGUGGCGGACGGGUGAGUAACACGUGGGAACGUGCCCUUAGGUUCGGAAUAACUCAGGGCAACUUGUGCUAAUACCGCAUGUGCCCUUCGGGGGAAAGAUUUAUCGCCUUUAGAGCGGCCCGCGUCUGUUUAGCUAGUUGGUUGAGGUAAUGGCUCACCAAGGCGGCGAUCAGUAGCUGGUCUGAGAGGAUGAUCAGCCACAUUGGGACUGAGACACGGCCCAAACUCCUACGGGAGGCAGCAGUGGGGAAUCUUGCGCAAUGGGCGAAAGCCUGACGCAGCCAUGCCGCGUGAAUGAUGAAGGUCUUAGGAUUGUAAAAUUCUUUCACCGGAGACGAUAAUGACGGUACCCGGAGAAGAAGCCCCGGCUAACUUCGUG